GUUGUGGUUAAAAGCUCGUAGUUGAACCUUGGGCCUGGCUGGCCGGUCCGCCUCACCGCGUGCACUGGUCCGGCCGGGCCUUUCCCUCUGCGGAACCCCAUGCCCUUCACUGGGUGUGGCGGGGAAACAGGACUUUUACUUUGAAAAAAUUAGAGUGCUCAAGGCAGGCCUAUGCUCGAAUACAUUAGCAUGGAAUAAUAGAAUAGGACGUGUGGUUCUAUUUUGUUGGUUUCUAGGACCGCCGUAAUGAUUAAUAGGGACAGUCGGGGGCAUCAGUAUUCAAUUGUCAGAGGUGAAAUUCUUGGAUUUAUUGAAGACUAACUACUGCGAAAGCAUUUGCCAAGGAUGUUUUCAUUAAUCAGGAACGAAAGUUAGGGGAUCGAAGACGAUCAGAUACCGUCGUAGUCUUAACCAUAAACUAUGCCGACUAGGGAUCGGACGAUGUUACAUUUUUGACGCGUUCGGCACCUUACGAGAAAUCAAAGUGCUUGGGCUCCAGGGGGAGUAUGGUCGCAAGGCUGAAACUUAAAGAAAUUGACGGAAGGGCACCACCAGGGGUGGAGCCUGCGGCUUAAUUUGACUCAACACGGGGAAACUCACCAGGUCCAGACACAAUGAGGAUUGACAGAUUGAGAGCUCUUUCUUGAUUUUGUGGGUGGUGGUGCAUGGGCCGUUCUUAGUUGGUGGAGUGAUUUGUCUGCUUAAUUGCGAUAACGAACGAGACCUUAACCUGCUAAAUAGCCCGUAUUGCUUUGGCAGUACGCUGGCUUCUUAGAGGGACUAUCGGCUCAGCCGAUGGAGUUUGAGCAUAACAGUCUGUGAUGCCCUUUAGAUGUCUGGGCGCACGCGCGCUACACUGAC
rnacentral:rRNA from 1 species